rnacentral:rRNA from 1 species
GGCGGACGGGUGAGUAACGCGUGGGUAACCUGCCCUGUACAGGGGGAGUAACAGUCAGAAAUGACUGCUAAUACCGCAUAAGACCACAGCACCGCAUGGUGCAGGGGUAAAAACUCCGGUGGUACAGGAUGGACCCGCGUCUGAUUAGCUGGUUGGUGAGGUAACGGCUCACCAAGGCGACGAUCAGUAGCCGGCUUGAGAGAGUGAACGGCCACAUUGGGACUGAGACACGGCCCAAACUCCUACGGGAGGCAGCAUG